rnacentral:lncRNA from 1 species
UUUUUAACGAUGAUAGAAAAAAUUACAUACAUAGAAUGAUUAGAUUACUUAUAAAGGUGCCCAUCCUUUUGUGCGAGAAAAUCACAUAUCAAUUGUGUGUUUCGAUUUUUAAGACCGUAAACUUAAUUUCAAGUUUAAACUUGUUCAACAUAUUUUCCCAUACCUCAUAUAGAAAACGCAUAUUUAGAGAGCUUUAAUCUCAAUCUCCUGUUAAAAAAUUUCGGAAUGCAAAGUAAAAUUAAAAUAUUUGUGUUCUAUAAGAGUAGGAAUUCAAGUGUUUGCUUAAUAUUUAUUUGAAUCUGAGACUCAUAUAAAUAGUAAGCCGUUGUCCGGUGAAAAAAGUUGUUUUCCAACGACCCACAAAACUCUUUUUCAACGC